rnacentral:rRNA from 1 species
AGUGAACGCUGGCGGUAGGCCUAACACAUGCAAGUCGAACGGCAGCACAGGAGAGCUUGCUCUCUGGGUGGCGAGUGGUGGACGGGUGAGGAAUACAUCGGAAUCUACCCUGUCGUGGGGGAUAACGUAGGGAAACUUACGCUAAUACCGCAUACGACCUACGGGUGAAAGCAGGGGACCUUCGGGCCUUGCGCGAUUGAAUGAGCCGAUGUCGGAUUAGCUAGUUGGCGGGGUAAAGGCCCACCAAGGCGACGAUCCGUAGCUGGUCUGAGAGGAUGAUCAGCCACACUGGAACUGAGACACGGUCCAGACUCCUACGGGAGGCAGCAGUGGGGAAUAUUGGACAAUGGGCGCAAGCCUGAUCCAGCCAUACCGCGUGGGUGAAGAAGGCCUUCGGGUUGUAAAGCCCUUUUGUUGGGAAAGAAAUCCAGCUGGCUAAUACCCGGUUGGGAUGACGGUACCCAAAGAAUAAGCACCGGCUAACUUCGUGCCAGCCGCCGCAGUAA